CAGUAGCCACGGUAAUACGUAGGUGGCAAGCGUUGUCCGGAAUUAUUGGGCGUAAAGGGCUCGCAGGCGGUUUCUUAAGUCUGAUGUGAAAGCCCCCGGCUCAACCGGGGAGGGUCAUUGGAAACUGGGAAACUUGAGUGCAGAAGAGGAGAGUGGAAUUCCACGUGUAGCGGUGAAAUGCGUAGAGAUGUGGAGGAACACCAGUGGCGAAGGCGACUCUCUGGUCUGUAACUGACGCUGAGGAGCGAAGGCGUGGGGAGCGAACAGGAUUAGAUACCCCCGUAGUCCCUGUCUCUUAUAC
rnacentral:rRNA from 1 species